CCUACGGGAGGCAGCAGUGGGGAAUAUUGCACAAUGGGGGAAACCCUGAUGCAGCGACGCCGCGUGAGCGAUGAAGUAUUUCCGUAUGUAAAACCCUAUCAGCAGGGAAGCAAAUGACGGGACCCGUCCAACAAGCGCAGGGUAAAGAUGCGUCAGAACCCGCGGCACCAAGCAGGGGGCAAGCGUUAUCCGGAUGUACCGGGUGUAAAGGGAGCGUAGACGGUCCGGCAAGCCAGAUGUGAAAGCCCGGGGCUCAACCCGGGGACUGCAGUUGGAACCGUGAGGCUCGAGUGUCGGAGAGGGAGGCGGAAUGCGUGGUGUAGCGGUGAAAUGCGUAGAUAUUAGGAGGAACACCAGUGGCGAAGGCGGCCUACUGGACGGUGACUGACGCUGAGGCACGAAAGCGUGGGGAGCAAACAGGAUUAGAUACCCCAGUAGUC
rnacentral:rRNA from 1 species